GAUGAACGCUGGCGGCGUGCCUAAUACAUGCAAGUCGAGCGAACGGACGAGAAGCUUGCUUCUCUGAUGUUAGCGGCGGACGGGUGAGUAACACGUGGAUAACCUACCUAUAAGACUGGGAUAACUUCGGGAAACCGGAGCUAAUACCGGAUAAUAUUUUGAACCGCAUGGUUCAAAAGUGAAAGACGGUCUUGCUGUCACUUAUAGAUGGAUCCGCGCUGCAUUAGCUAGUUGGUAAGGUAACGGCUUACCAAGGCAACGAUGCAUAGCCGACCUGAGAGGGUGAUCGGCCACACUGGAACUGAGACACGGUCCAGACUCCUACGGGAGGCAGCAGUAGGGAAUCUUCCGCAAUGGGCGAAAGCCUGACGGAGUAACGCCGCGUGAGUGAUGAAGGUCUUCGGAUCGUAAAACUCUGUUAUUAGGGAAGAACAAAUGUGUAAGUAACUGUGCACACCUUGACGGUACCUAAUCAGAAAGCCACGGCUAACUACGUG
rnacentral:rRNA from 1 species